GCGAGCGUGGCGGAAUUGGUAGACGCGCUGGAUUUAGGUUCCAGUGGUUAUCCGUGAGAGUUCGAGUCUCUCCGCUCGCACCA
rnacentral:tRNA from 1 species